GCCCAGAUGGCGGAAUUGGUAGACGCGCAUGGUUCAGGUCCAUGUGUCUUUAAUGACUUGGAGGUUCAAGUCCUCUUCUGGGCA
rnacentral:tRNA from 1 species